rnacentral:tRNA from 1 species
GGGCUGUUAGCUCAGUUGGCAGAGCAACUGACUCUUAAUCAGUGGGUCGAGGGUUCGAGCCCCCACAGCCCA